rnacentral:rRNA from 1 species
GAUGAACGCUGGCGGCGUGCCUAAUACAUGCAAGUCGAGCGAAUGGAUUAAGAGCUUGCUCUUAUGAAGUUAGCGGCGGACGGGUGGGUAACACGUGGGUAACCUGCCCAUAAGACUGGGAUAACUCCGGGAAACCGGGGCUAAUACCGGAUAACAUUUUGAACCGCAUGGUUCGAAAUUGAAAGGCGGCUUCGGCUGUCACUUAUGGAUGGACCCGCGUCGCAUUAGCUAGUUGGUGAGGUAACGGCUCACCAAGGCAACGAUGCGUAGCCGACCUGAGAGGGUGGUCGGCCACACUGGGACUGAGACACGGCCCAGACUCCUACGGGAGGCAGCAGUAGGGAAUCUUCCGCAAUGGACGAAAGUCUGACGGAGCAACGCCGCGUGAGUGAGGAAGGCUUUCGGGUCGUAAAACUCUGUUGUUAGGGAAGAACAAGUGCUAGUUGAAUAAGCUGGCACCUUGACGGUACCUAACCAGAAAGCCACGGCUAACUACGUGCCAGCCGCCGCAGUAA